CUUACUUCAUGUACAUACAAUAUUUGUGCGAUUUGAAUAUCUGAGGAAUUGGAGGAAACCAAAAGUUGGAAAGCACAUGGUGGAAAACAUAUAGAUGGUUAGGCAUCUAGGCCUGUUUUGUCGGUUGUGACACUUUUUGAUCUACUUUUGCUUCUUAAAUGCUUUGUUCGAGACUACGGUGGACCAGGAUCCGUUUGUUUAUUUUAAUAAAAGAACCGUAUGCAUCGUGCUGAUGCAGAGGCAGGAGGUAACACUCAUUUAAAAAAAAACAUGAUGUACUUCGGUUGUCACUGGUUCCACAUUCGAGCCCGCCUUCCGUUUGCUUGAAUGUACUGUAGUAAUCAAGGAGCCUAAAGGAUUUCUUACAGGCUAGAGCCUAAAGGAAUUCUCACACAAGCAAAAGCAUCGAAUUACUUUUUCCUAGUGCGAAAGGGUCGGCCAAUGCUGAACUGGGAGCAGCGCUUCCAUACAAUCAAGAGAAAAUUCCUUAUCUAACACUAUGUUAAAUAUUGGUUCCCUAUUUAGCACUGAAGAAAUAUUACUUCCUUAUGUAGCACCGAAUGUAAACAUUAUGCCUUAUCUAACAUUUUUGUCCAUUCUGUUAGCCCAUGCCGUUAAAGUAGACUUGCAUUGACGAAACUGCCCCUGCCCAUAGGAAAAAAAGAAACUCCUGGCCGAGCGAUUCCUCUCUCUCGCGCGACGCCUCUCUCUCUCACGGCACACCCAGCCCACCUUUCCUCGUCCUAACCCUAGCAAGAGCGAGAUGGACGGCGGCGCUCGAUCCACACCAGAGGGGGCCGGCGAGGGCGUGACCCCGGAUGGAUUCGGCGAGGACGCCGGAGGNNNNNNNNNNNNNNNNNNNUCCAGGACCAGCUACAUGGGCAUGUCCAGAGGGGUAAGAUUUCCUUGAGAUUUCCAUGUAAUGUUAGUAGCAAAACAGUCCAUCUGGUAGUAAUUAUCAUGCAAACUUGUCUUUUGAAUUCACAGAAUGGAUCCAAGUUCAAGUUAUUUGCUUAAAAUUAAAUUGUUUGGCAAUCGAAAGAAAGCUUGAAAGGACAUAAGAUGUUUUUGUUUUGAGAAGGUCAUCGAUUGUGACUUGACAAAUUAUAAGGAUUUGGUUGAAUCAAUUGUAGAGCAGUAUCCGCCGGGUUAUUUGGAAGUUGCACAUGUGCAGUAUUAUGAUGAUGUUCUUAAAACUUGUCCAGAAGUAAAAUCUGACCAAGAUUUGAUGCUUAUGUUUGAAAUUACUGCUGCCAUACAUGUACAAGUGUACAUCAACGAAGGGAAAGAAGAUGGAGCUUGCUAAAAAGGAUGAAAUUUGUGCUAUGGUACCAUUUGACAGCCCUGCAAUGGGCACUAGAAGCAAAAAGACUAGUCCAACCAGCCCUGCAAUGAGCACAAGAAGCAAAAGAAGGCUUAGCUUGUGAACAUGUCAUAUUGUGUGAACUCAUGUAUAUGAAGCUUUGGUCACUUGGACUAUGUAUGUGAACCUGGAUAUGAUGACAAUCCUUCUGUGUUGCUCAUAUGAUGUGAACUUGAAUGUUGGACCUAUAUAUAUGAACCUGGAUAUGUUGUACGUGAUAUAUGCGUAUUUGGAUAUGAGCCUGGAUGUUUAUGUGCAAAUCUGAAUAUUAUUUGUUGAAAUAUAUGUAUAUGUGAAUUGUGUGAUCCUAAUAUGCAUCAAUUUAUAGGAAAGGUUCUGCUCAAAUUUUGAAUUACUUAGUAUGUGAUGUAUUUUGCUCACAACUUCAUCAGGGGUAAAAUCGUCUUCUCAGGUACCAUUUAACACCGUCAAUGGUUAAAAUGGACGGAAAUGUUAGAAAGGGAACACAUUUUAGUGUUGGUGUUAUAUAAGGAAGAAUAUUUUAAACAGUGUUAAACAGGACACACAAAUUUAAACCAGUGUUAAAUAAGGAAUUCUCUCUACAAUCAAUGGGAUCACACACGGGCUUCUCUACUUGCACAAGCCCUCUCGCUUGAGAGUAUUACAGACCUAAAAUCCAGUAAUAUUCUAUUGGACCGUGAGAUGAACACCAAGAUUUGCGACUUGUUUUAUGCUCUGGUUUUCAGCUCGACUGUGACCGAAGCAACACAACCAGGAUCGUGGAGUAAGUACUUCCAACUAAAAUUAUAACUUUCAUAUAGUCUCAAUUGGCGACCUUAUGACACGGAUUUCUUUGUGACUUAAGAGUGGGUGCAUUGCCCUGGAGUAUGCCUCCAAGGGUCUUUUCUCGACCAAGUCAGACAUUUACAGUUGGCGUCAUACUUCUCAAGGUCAUUUUCCAUAAUAUACAGUUGGCUGCCAUUUUAUUAAUAAAUAAAAAUAGAGGUUUCACAAAAGUGCUCAAUCUAAAAGAGUUCACAGAUUGAACUCAUACAAGAAAAUAACAAUAAAAGCCACAUCCGGCUAAGACAACAAUAAGCUUCGAUGACUAAACAUCUAGCCUAUUAGUUAGCCGCCAUCCAAACCGGUUCAAGAUAGCCCGUGCUACCGUCUUCCAUCGCUUGGACAUAGUAGCCAAAAGCUCACUCGACUCUACAGUUGUGAGUAAUGACCAUGUAUGAAUCCACGUGGUAGUUUUGUAGAUAACCUACAAAAAGUUGUUGAAGUUCUUGUUGUUAAAUAUGACAUCGUUUCUCCAAUUCCAUAUAGCCCAGAAUAAAGCAUAUAUUCCUAUCCGAAUGUGACCCGCGAUAUUUGUUGGCACUCCACUUAGCCACGUCCCAAAUAACGUGUUUAUACUAAUUGGAGGGCCAAUGUUAAAGGCUAUAUAUAUAGUACGCCAAAGCAAUUGGACAAGCAGACAAUCAAGAAAGAGGUGUUUAAUAGUCUCAUUACGAUCACAAAAACAACAUCUGGUGUUUUCGACCCAGCUUCUCUUAACGAGAUUGUCCUUCGUCAAAAUCACUCUCUUGUGAACGAACCACAUAAUUUUUUUGAUUCUUAAUAUUACUUUAACCUUCCAAAUGUGAGGUGACGCCGGUAAUGUCCUAGAAUCAAUGAGAUCUAGAUACAUCGAUUUCACGGAAAAGCUGGCAUUUGCGGUUAGUUUCCAGUGAAUAGUAUCAGGUUGGUCCAUGAGUUGAACCUCCAUCAACCUACGGACUAAGUAUAGCCAAGAAUCCCAUCGUUCCCCCACCAAAGAUCUCCCGAAUUGUACAUUUAGGGAAACCGUCUGUAAUACUGUAGCAACAUAAUCUUCCUUAAUUACAUUGCCCAAUAUUAUAUAAGAAAGGAUAUUGUACAACCAAGGGCAUCUCCCCUAACUAUGUAUCUUUCUAAAAUCUAGUAGCGGUGCCAUUACCAACAUUAAAUUUCACCAUAUGGAAAAAAUUAAUUUUCAUCUUCAUUAACCCCUUCCAGAAAGGUGAAUUAGAGGGUCUAACUGGAACUUGUGCCAACGUCUUAGACUGUAGGUAUUUAUUCCGGACAAUUUGUACCCACGUUCCUUCCGUCUCAAUAGCCAAUCUGAAGAGCCAUUUACUAAGAAGGCAUCUAUUUUUAAUUUCCAAGUUCUCAAUCCCUAACCCACCUUGGUCUUUGGGUCUACAUAUUAUGCCCUAUCUGACAAGUCUGUACUUCUUCUUUGUAUCAUCACUUUGCCAAAAGAAUCGAGAACGAUAGAAAUCCAGUCUUUUUCGUACCCCUACCGGUACUUUAAAAAAAGACAGUAAGAAAAUUGGCAGGCUAGUCAAAACUGAAUUUAUUAACAGUAAGCGACCAUCAUAAGACAUAAGCUUGCCCUUCCAGCAACUUAAUCUCUUCUCGAACCUAUCCUCGAUACAUUUUCAUUCCUUGUUUGCGAGCUUACGGUGGUGAAUGGGUAUUUCCAAAUAACUAAAUGGGAGAGAUCCCAUCUCACACCCGAAUAGUUGUCGGUAUGAUUCUUGUUCUUCCUUGGCUUUCCCAAAGCAAAACAAUCCACUCUUGCUGAAAUUAAUCUUAAGUCCAGACAAUUGCUCAAAGAGACAAAUAAUAAGUUUCAUAUUUCUAGCUUUUGCGAGGUCAUGUUCCAUGAAAAUAAUUGUACCAUCCUCAUACUGCAAGAUGGACACUCCUCCAUCUACGAGAUGUGGAAUCAAUCCUCCUAUUAGAUCAGCAUCCUUUGCGUGACCAAUAAGAACAACCAGCAUGUGAGAAACAGUAUAAAACUGGUGACAGGGAGUCCCCCUAUCUGAGCCCCUUAUGUGUUUGGAAAUAAUGACCUACAUCAUCAUUCAUCCUAAUUCCAACGCUACAUUUCUGAACAAAUGAAUCAACCUGGUUCCUCCAGGGUUCGUUGAAUCCCUUCAUAUGCAAGGCUUGUUGGAGAAAGGGCCAUUUGACCUAGCUUAUCAUAUUUCAUCUCGAGAUCAACUUUGAACAUAACUCCAUCGAUCUUCUUCGAGUGCAUUUCGUGAAGUGUCUCAUGCAGUACCACAACCUCUUCUAGGGUGUGUCUACCUGUCAUGAAUGUCGCCUGGGUGUGUUGAACUACCGAAUGGGCCACCUGUGUCAACCUAUUCGUAGCAACCUUGGUGAAAAUUUUGGAACUGACAUUGAACAAGCAUAUCGGUCUAAAUUGCUCAAAGUGAAUGGCCUCCACCUUCUUCAGCAACAACCUGAUCGUUCCAAAGUUUAUGUGGAAUAGCUCAAGCUGACCGUUGAAAAAUCAUGGAACAUAGGCAUAAGAUCUCCCUUGAUAAUAUGCCAACACCUCUUGUAAAACUCAGCCGGAAAGCCAUCCGGCCCUAGAGCUUUAUUGGGUUUCAUUUGUGUUAUUGCGUCAAACACCUCUUUCUCCGAAAAUGGAGCUGACAAUCUCAUUGUCGUCUCCAUUUAGCUGAGGAAUGUCAUCAAUUAUGUGCUCAUCUAGCGACACAUGAUUCACCUUAGGUGCCCUGAAAAUACUUUUAUAAUAAUUAGAGAUGUACAACUUAAGGUUCUCAUGUCCUGUUAUUGUACCCUCAUCUUGUUCAAGCUGAACAAUACGCUUCUUUCUAUGCUUCCCAUUGGCAAUCAUAUGGAAGAGUUGUGUGUUAUCAUCCCCUUGGAUUUUGUUGUUUUGGCUCUAAGUGCCCAUUUAAUCUCCUCCUCUCGAAGCAGAACACACAGUUUCUGCUCGGCAUCGUUCUUAAUGUUUAUAUCCGUAGCUGAAAGAACGUUUGACCCAACUUUUAAAUCUAGCUCAUUUAUGAGCUGAGUAAGAGUCUCCUUUUCAACUUUGUAGAGACCACUCUGGUGUUUUGCCCAUCCUCUCAAGAAUUGGCGUAAGUGCCUGAUUUUGUUUUGCCAUCUGUCCAUAUUUUAAUUUCCAGCAACCUCUUUGCCCCAUUCUGUAGCUAUGAGGUCAAGGAAUCCCUCUCUCAAACCAUCCUACUUCAAAAUAGAAGAGGUUCUUAUUUCCCACAUGAGUCACCUUUCUAGAGUCAACCAAUAGUGGAGUGUGAUAAGACACUGCUCUCUGCAGAGCCUGAAUCGUGACUAAGGGGAAUUUCUGUUCCCACUCAACACUGGCAAGCACACGGUCUAACUUUUCAAAUGUCGAUAUAGGUAGUGUGUUCGCCCACGUGAACUGUCUACCUGAGAGGUCAAUCUCUCUCAAAUCCAUACUCUCUAUGAUUGUGUUAAACAUGAAUGAUCACCGACCAUAAAAAUAUCAUUGUUUUUUUCUUCUUUCCUUCUAAUGAUGUUGAAAUCUCCCCCUACAAGGAUAGGCAGCGUUUCAUCCCCACAAAUCCUCACCAAGUCUGAGAGAAAUUCAGAUUUUAGCACUAGUAGAAAACAAGGCUAUGGUCCAGGCGAGAAAAGGGCUUUAAUUCCGGUUCUGUUACGAACCGGGACAAAUGGGAGCAUCAGUACCGGUUCAGAUGGGACCUUUAGUCCCGGUGUGAGCCACGAACCGGGACUAAAGGGGCGGUGGCAACCGUUCGCCUGGCACGAACCCUAUUAGUCCCGGCUGGUGGCUCAAACCGGGACUAAAGGUCCAAACCAUUCGACUCCUACGCAUUAGAAGUUGUUUCUCGCGAGAUCAAAUGCUGCAUUAACUGCGAGAACAAACAAGACCAGUGCCUCCAUCUUGCCUGUUCGUCUCUGUUUCCUCUGUUCGUCUCCCUCUCCUCCAUCCCCAUCCUCUACCAUGAAUCCAAUCACUCGCUACGGAAAGGUGCUCGCACAUGGUACGACCAAUCUCGAUGUCGUCUUCACGAACGACAACGCCAAGGUCCCGGUUUUUCUUUCCAUGUUCGAGGAAUGGCUUCAAGAGGAGAAACAUAAGUUCAUGGGCCUCAAUCUCGAGUACACGACCGAUUGUCGCGAUGUUGUCAUCGUCCAACUUUGUUUCAAACAUCGUGUCAUGGCCUUUCAGUGGGCAAGGUAAUAUGAAACUUGUCAUAGUUUUAAUUUGGGGAUUUUCUUUGAUUUAUAGGAUAGGAAAAUUGCAUUCGAAUAGGAUGAUUGGGAAUGUCGAGAACAUGUCAUAGUUUCCUUGAUUCAUAGGAAUAAUGCAUAGGAAAAAUGGGGUUUUUUCUUUGAUUCAUAGUAAUGGGGUUUUUUUUUGAUUCAUAUGAAAAUUGCAUAUGAGUAGAAAAUUGCAUAUGAGUAGAAAAUUGCAUAGGAAUAGGAGGAUUCGGAAAAUUGCAUAGGAAUUUUCCUUGUAGUUGCAUAUUGGCCAUCGUGAGAACAUGUCAUAGAUUAGGGGCUUGUUUUGUUUCAUAGGAUAGGAAAUGCAUGUAGGAAAUAGGAAACUUGCUAUAUAUGAUUUUUAUUAUAUUUGUUAUGAUUCUUAUUAUACUUGUGCCGAAUUAUACUUGUUAUGAUUCUAUUAUACUUGUUCUAAAAUAUAUUUGUUGCAGUAGUAUAUAUUUAACACAUUUGUUCCAUUUUGUUGUUGCGGUAGUGACAAGCACUGUCCAAAACUCAUGGACUUCCUUCGCAGUGCUAUAAAUUUUGCUAGCGUUGAUAUAACAAAUGAAAGAAUCAAGAUGAGGCGCACUUGGGGUAUUGAGAUACCAGCUGAAUGCCACAUUGAUCUUAAGGACAGGUUCAGGCUUGAGCAUGACAAUACUUCAAUGGCUCAUAUGGCAGCCGCCCUGAUCGACGAGGAGUACGCUGAUAUGAAGACAAAAUUCCCCAAGUCAGGGCACAAACUUUGGGGUAAGACCCCACUUGACCCUAUCAACAGUGAGUAUGCAACAAAAGAUGGGUACGUUUCAUACGAGUUGUACCGCAAGAUUAGAAUCUUCAAUUAUGGGCAACGUCACCUCUUACCGCUAGUAUCUACUGCUUGGGGGUAUUCUGUAUUCUGAUCCGAAUGACGAGUAUUCUGAUCCAGACGACGAGUAGUGCUUGGGAGUUUCUUCAUUUUAUGCAGUACUUUAUAUAAUGGAUAUCUGAACUAUUAUUUUAUUAUGUCCCUGUUUAAGUACGAUUUGUGUGUAAGAAUAUUUAAAAUGACGUGAGCAAGCUUUUUGAAGCAUUGUGAUGUAUGUGAUGAAGACUAUCUAUGGUUACGGCGCAAUAUACACUACAAGGAAUAUGCUAGUACACGACGCUAUUUUUUCGUCGCUACAUCGUCACGGUUUUUCAUUUACGACGAUCGCACGACGAAAAACCAAGCGUCGAAAAUGGAGCGUCAGAAAUGAACAGCAACGGCGUUUUGGUCAAAAUCGUGGUAACUUACGGCGAUUCCUGGAUCGUCGUAACCUUUACGACGAUCCUAAAUCAUCGCUGGCAAUCAAACCCAGUCCUACGUGGCAAAAUUACGACGAAAUCAAAACGUCAUGACUGAAAUCAGCCCAACCCAUUUCAAUUGAUCACAUGGGCUGAUUUUAUUUUUUCUGGGCUUUUUCUUAUUGGGUUUCUUUUUGGGCCUUAGCCUAUUUACAACCACUUUAGUAUUUUUUUCAAUUUUUUUGUAUCAUUAUAAUUUGGGCCCUGACCUUUUAGUGCCCAAAUACAUUUGGCCCAGUUUUAGUUUUGGCCUUUUGAAUUUCAGUUUUGUGUGUACGUCCGACUUGUCAUGUUCUUCUCAUAAUUUGUCCCAUAUGUCAAGAAGUUCUUGUCAGGUUUUCAUUUCACACAUUUUCAAAUCGCAUACGAUAUGAAUAUUUCAAAUAGAGCAGAAAGAACAUGUGAAAUUCAUCAAAUUAACACGAAGGUGGUAUAUUAUAAUUUUUCUAAUCUGUUACAAAGCAGAUAUGUCUAUUAUUACAAUAUAUAAUAUGCAUUCUUGGAUAAGUAGAGCUUCACACAAUUGGCUUCAAUUGGCUUCGUACUUCAACUUUCUUAGGCCUGGAGGUCCUGUAGAAGAAACAACCAUAUUUUUAAAAGCUACAAGAUACAGAUCAAGAAUAGAAACAAGGCACAAAAACUGCAUAACAGUUAUAAUACAGCUAUUUGUUUUAGUUCGUACUACUACUGUAAUCGAUGCAAAAAAAACAUACUACUACUGUAAUUGACAUAAAAACCUUGAAAGAGACAAGCAGAAGUCAAAACAUAUUUUUAGAACAGAUAUUUGCAUUAAAAUUAGGCAUUAAAAAUAAUGGACACAAAUAUUUGCAUUAAAGAUUAGGCAUUGCACACCCAGCAGAAAGAUACAAGCAGAAGUCAAAACAUAUUUUUAGAACAGCUCAUGACUACCAACAAUAAUGUAAAAUCCAGAUCCUACAUCUUCAUCCAUUUGGAUGUUGGCAUCAUAGCAUGCUUUGCUCAACCAUAGCAUGCUUUCCAUGAUGGAAAGAGACUCUACAGCAAUAACACAAUAGACAACCAAGAAGCAUCAAACUUAACUGCAAAAUUAAAGAAUAGGUGCAAGAUAAUGAAUAUUUGAUCCAGUGUCAGCCUAUUCAUGACAACACAAUAGCUGACUAAUUCUCUUUGACAAUAACACAGAUGUAAAAACAUAUACUGCAAUAUAUGUUACUACCGAAUAUAUAUACCUGAACAGAGUUCUUCUUUUCGAUCGUCAAGCUGCGAAGCAGUCUGAUCAUCUUCUGUAAUGGCAAAUGUCACUGGUGUCAGCUGAUAUCACAAGAGAGCUACACUUUCAAACAUUUUAGAUGGACAACUGCAUAAAUAAAAAAUGCAUAUACCAGACUCGGGACUAAUCCUCAACACCUUAACUGUAGUCAAUAAUUAUCAGUACUAGAUCAUGGAAGGCGCGCGUUGCCGCGCUCAUCUGUUUUUGUAAUAGAAUGGUUGUUGCCAGUACACAUAAAACAUGGGACUUAAAUUUUCAUAAAGUUACACAUAUAUUUGUUGGUUACCAAAGAGCAGAAUUUAAUGAGUUCACGGGGAAAUAAUAAUUCGGUGCUAGGUGACCAUAGAACUUGCAAACACAAAAUAUUGGGAAUAAAUCCCUAAAAUAAUCUUAUAGGCACAGAAGCCAUAUGUGCUGAAACUUUAAGGACAAAAUACAAAUUACCAAUUGGGAAGAAGCUUCUCAAUAUAUCGCAGAGAAAGAAAUAGCCACCUCAUUCUUAGAAAUUAAAGAUUUCAUUCAUUAGAAACUUGAUAUCAGUCGUGUUAGGAAAGCAACUUAUAUUCCCAUGAGGCCAUAGGCCGAUAUAUAUACAUGUACAGGUGAUGGACUAUAUGCAGGAAAACCCCUUAUAUAUUGGGAUAAAUACAAAAGGGUACAUGACUUGUAUUAUAACUCUAACACCCCCCCCCCUCAAACUCAUGGUGGAUGAACAACACUAAGUUUGGAGAGAUAAAAGCCAUGUUGUGCUCUAGUCUGGGCCUUCGUCAGGAAAUCCGCCAACUGUAACUCGGAAGGCACAUACUGAAGAGCAACAACCUGAUCCUGCACAGCAGCGCACACAUAGAAAGCAUCAACACCAAUAUGCUUGGUGAGCUCAUGCUUCACAGGAUCGCGCGCAAUGCUAAUAGCACCUGUACUGUCAGAUAAGAGCAGAGUCGGUGUAGUGACAGAAACACCAAAAUCCUGAAGUAACCAUCGUAACCAAGUCACCUCUGUCGUCAAAAGAGCCAUCGCUCGCAACUCAGCCUCUGCACUCGAACGGGAAACUGCAAUCUGUUUCUUCGUCUUCCAGGCAAUGAGAGAACCACCAAGAAAAACAUAGUAAGCAGAAAGUGAACGGCGAUCUGAAGGAUCACUAGCCCACGUAGCAUCCGAAUAGGCCUGAAGCUAUAAAGAACUGGAGCGAGGAAAGAAUAAACGGUGAGAGAUUGUGCCCCGAAGAUAUCGGAGAACACGGAGGAGAUGACUAUGGUGAACCGAUGUGGGAGUAGAGACAAACUGACUCAGAAUAUGAACCGGAUAAGAAAUAUCCGGACGAGUGACAGCUAGACAAACAAGACUGCCAACAAGAUGACGAUAGCGUGUUGGGUCAGGCAGGGGAUCACCAUCAGUAGCAGAGAGGUGAACAUUGAGCUCCAUAGGAGUCUCAACAAUGCGCUCAUCAGUAAGAGCAGCACGAGCAAGAAGAUCCUGGAUAUACUUUUCUUGGGAUAUAAAAAAGCCAUCAGAGGUAGAAGAGACUUCAAUCCCAAGAAAGUAGCGAAGAGGUCCAAGAUCAGACAUAAGGAACUGCUCACUAAGACGAGCCUUGACAAAGGCAAUAUACUCAGGGUCAUCCCCAGUGAUGACCAUGUCAUGAACAUAAAGAAGAAGAAGAGUCCGACCACGAGGAGAAAGGUGAAUAAACAAUGCUGGAUCAUGAACACUGGGUGAAAAACCAGCGGCAGUCACCACAGAGGCAAAACGCUCAAACCAGGCUCGGGGGGCUUGCUUAAGGCCAUAGAGAGAGCGACGAAGACGGCAUACCAUGCCAUCAGGAACAGAAUACCCAGGUGGAGGCUACAUGUACACCUCCUCACGUAGCUCACCAUUAAGAAAAGCAUUCUUAACAUCAAGCUGAGAGAUAGACCAGUGGCGUGUAGAGGCCACGACAAGAAGUGUACGAACAGUGGUCAUAUGAGCCACAGGAGCAAAAGUCUCGUGAUAAUCACGAUCAUGCUCCUGCUGAAAACCACGAGCCACAAGACGAGCUUUGUGACGCUCAAGAGAACCAUCGGAGCGAGCCUUUACCUUGUAGACCCACUUACAAGUGAUGGGACGGACUCCAGGAGGAAGGGAAACAAGAUCCCACGUACCUGUGCGUUCAAGAGCAGCAAUCUCCUCAGCCAUCGCAAACUGCCAUUCAGGAUGAACAACAGCCUGAUGAUAAGUAGUCGGCUCAAGAACAGCAGCUCCAGCGAUGGAAAAUCCUAAGCGAUCAACAGGCGGACGAGGACAAGAACGCAAGCCAUAAGUAGGCUGAGACGAGGAUGACGGCACAUCCAGAGAGGCAUCCACAAAACGUGAACGACGAGUGUAACACUGAGGAAAAGAUGGAACAAUGGAAGGAGGAAUCGCUAAAGUAGAAUCGGAGAGUGGCGACGAAGAAGUCACCGGAGAUGAAGGUGUAGAAUCCGGUGACAUGCUAGACGAGGAGACCGUGGAAGAUGGUGGUGACAAAUCGACUGGAGGUGGAGAAGCAGAGGGAGCGGAAUGAGUAGGCAAAGGCUCGACGAGUGUGAUAGGCGUGUCAGGAAAAGUGAGAAAAGAGAUAUCCUCCACUGAAAAAGUCGUGGAAGAUGGGCGUGGGUAGAAGGGACGAGACUCAUCAAAAGUCACAUCCCGAGAGAUACGUAUCUGACGACCGAUAGGAUCCCAACAACGAUAGCCCUUAUGCUCAUCACUAUAGCCUAAGAAGACACACUCAACAGACUGAGCGGUCAGUUUGGUGCAUUCGCGGGGGGCAAGAAGAACAUAGAAAACACAACCAAACAAGCGAAGCGUCGAAUAAUCGGGAGACCGAUCAAAAAGACGCUCGAAAGGAACACCACCCUGUAGAGCAGCGGAAGGCUAGAAAUUGAUGAGAUAGGUGGAGGUGGAGACAGCCUCAGCCCAAAAAUGAGGCGGGAGAGAGGCAGCAAUCAUCAAUGCACGAGCCGUCUCAAGAAGAUGACGAUGCUUGCGCUCAGCCACGCCAUUCUGAGCGUGAGCACCAGGACAAGAGAAUUGAGAGAGAGUCCCUUGCUCAGUAAGAACACAACGCAACAUCUUAGAGAUAUACUCGCCAGCGGAGUCAACACGGAACACACGAAUGGGAGAAGAGAACUGAGUAUGAACCAUGGCAGCAAAACGCUUAUAAAUGGACAACACCUCACUACGAGAAGUCAUGAAAUAAAGCCAUGUGUAACGACAGAAGUCAUCUAUGAAAAUAAUAUAGUAUUUAUGACCCCCUUUCGAAGCGAAGGGAGCCGGACCCCAUACAUCGGGAUGAACUAAAUCAAAAGGAUGCUUAGACACUGACUCACUAUGUGGAUAUGGUAACUGAAUCUGCUUGCCAAGACGACAACCCUGACACUCUAAAGAGGCAUCUCCUGAGACAGACCCCAGAAGACCUCGACGAACUAACGACGACAAACGAGAACCACACAGAUGACCAAGUCGAUGAUGCCACUGCUGGAAGGAACCAGUAGCCGAGGCGACCAAAGCAGAAGAACUGGCGAUAGAGUGGGCAGCGAAAGGAACAUGAAGCCAGUCCAACUCCCAAAGACCUUCAGAAUCACGGCGGCGAGGACCAGCCCCAACCAGAGUGUGUGUGCGACGGUCCUGAACAGAACAAGAGUCAAGGUCAAGGAUGACACGACAACCAGAAUCAGCAAGUUGACCAGCGGAAAACAAAUUCAUGGUAAGUGGAGGAAUAUGAGCAACAUCAGGAACAGAGUAAGAAGGAGUGGUAAGAGUGCCUCUACUAACGACAGGAAGGGGAGUACCAUCAGCGGUUAGGACAUGAACAGGAGAAUCAAGUGAUCGAAGAGAGGACAGAGUGGAAGAAUUAGAAGUCAUAUGGAAGGAAGCUCCAGAGUCCAGAACCCAUGGGGAUGUACCUGAUUGUGUAGAAGGUGGUUGCUCAGUGCGGGAAGCCUCAGUCACAGAACCAGCAGUACCCGUCGAGGAAGAACCCGAAGCAGCGAGCAGACGCUUAAGUCUCAGAAUAUCCUGCUCAGUCAAAGCGAUGGCUGAAGCUGUCGAGGUAGAUGACGAGGUCUCUGUAGAUGAUGAGCGCGCCUUGCGCAAGUGUUUCUUCUUCGUGUAGCAGUUGGACUCAAUGUGACCAUCAUUGUUGCAGUAGCCACAAUGUGGACGGGGCCGACCUGAGCCUCUAGAAGGUGUGGGCAAGAGCGGCGGAGCACUCAAGCGAGAAGGGGUCGGUGCAGCAGAUGGCUUAGAAGUAGCCCGAGCAGCGAGUACCGAGGGAACCUCCAGCAAACCAGCACCACGUAAGCGAGUCUCCUCAGCACGGAUCUCAGAAAGCGCCUCCAUGAGAGAGAUACAGCCACGAGCAAACAACUGAGCACGCCGGGGCUCAAACUCCUUACGGAGCCGAGACAGGAACUCGUAGACGCGAUGAAACUCCAAAUCAGCCUGGACAGCCUGGCAACAGGGGCAAGUACGACAACCAGCACUGCGGAGAGAAUCAAGCUGGCGCCAGAUAGCAGAACUCUGUGCAUAGAAGUCAUCAACAGUGGAGUCACCCUGCUGAAGAGCAUGCUCCUGACGGACCAUAAGAGGCAUAAGGCAUCACCCGAGGGCUCAUAGCGCUGACAAAGGCGAGUCCACAUCUCAAACACAGUAGGGAGGCCCAGAAACUCAGAGGCAAACUGAGGCAGAACGCUAGCAGUGAGAACAGCUGCAGCACGAGCAUCAUCAUCAAGCCACUGGGUGUAAGCAGACAGAGCACCAUGAUACGUCUGAAGGGCCUCCUCAUAAGCCAAAGCCUUCUCAUCAAGUACGGAUAGCGGCCUCAUCAGCAAGCUUAGCCGUAUCCUUUGCGGCCUGAGAAGCAUCCGUGGGAAGAGCCGGUGGGGUCGGCGGAGUGGGAGCCACGGGAGGAACCGGGCAUGGCGGACAACAGACCUCGCCAGAAAGAAAACCCCAUAGGCGGAUGCCACGCAUGUGAAUGCGCAUGAAGCCAAUGAACUCGGUGUAAUUAGUGCCAUCAAAGAUCACCGGACAACGAGGAACAGCAACGUAGCCGGAUGAAGCAGACGAUUUUUUUUCUCUUUUUUUUUACUCAGUCAACGAACCGCGUGAGACAGCAGGACUCGAACUGGGACAGCCUCGGAUGCGAUCUGGUGAUGAUGGAGUCGAGGGCCUCUGCUGAUGGGAACAGCGUCCGCGAUCUGGCUAGAUGGUGGGAACAGCUGCCACGGGGCUGGUGCGAUCUCGCUCUGCUGCUGGGACACGGGGUGGUGGGAACCGCCUGAUGGGAGCAGAAUCCGCGUCACCUGCAGGAGAGGCAGCCACCAGCAACGAAGGAUUCCGCCCACCAGCAACAAAGGAUUCCGCCAUGAGCGGAAGCAGCAGCAACUGCACGACUGCGGGUGCGGAACUGACGGAGCGGUGUGGGAUCGGCGGCUUCUGCUGCGNAACAGCUAGAUGUAGCCGGCCGAGACCGAAUUCAAUCUGGACCCGAGUUUGAUCUGGAAACCAAAAUCGGGCAGUGGGAUGGAGAGGGAUCCGGCGGGGACGGGGGUUGGAGACGACCGGGACGAGCUGGAGACCCGGCUGCAGCACGAGCACGACGUGGGAAGGGGCGUCGGUGAGAGAGGCUGCAGUGAGAGUGUCGAGAAGGAGGAAAAACACGAGUUGCGCGUGCGAAAAAAGAACCUAGGGCUCUAAUACCAUGUUAGGAAAGCAACUUAUAUUUCCAUGAGGCCAUAGGCCGAUAUAUAUACAUGUACAGGUGAUGGACUAUAUGCAGGAAAGCCCCUUAUAUAUUGGGAUAAAUACAAAAGGGUACAUGACUUGUAUUAUAACUCUAACAAGUCGUACGUGUUACAUUCUAGCAACAAUUAGUUGACAACAUUACUAAAAACAUCCCUGCCACGAUGUAGGAGUCAUUCCUUGUUAAGAUGCAGCGUGAGCCACUCUUAACAGUGGGCAUGAGAUUCCUGAAUCUAGAGGCCUCCUGGAAACAGUACAAAGACAGUGGGCAGCGUAAAUGCAUGAGACCAUGGGAAAGAUAAGAUCCUGUCACGACUAAUUGAUCAACUGAAAGAAAAGAACUAAUGCUCUGCCUGAGUUCUACAUCAAAUAGAUGUGCUCUUCUAUCAGGGCUAGGUCAUGUACCAUCAACCCCAUCCAACAUAUUGGCAAAAAAACAGAACUUUCUGGAUCAAACUUAGAUUCCAUCAAAAGAUUAAAGAAAAUAAAGGCACACUUUGCGGGGGUACAUUACAAGCUUAAUUGUGUUAAUUACUUUAGGAACAUCAUCUUCGUCAAUAACAACAUUCCUCCCUGCAGCAAACCUUUAUGUUCUCAGCAAUCAAUAGCAAUACAAGAAAAUAAAACAAAUUGUUCAGGCAUAUGUGAUCCCAACAACAUGAGCAGCAUCUAUAUCAAUGAACAAAUGGUAACAGAUUUAACAAGGAAGAGCAAGCAGGCAGAGGGCAUCAUUUGGCGAUCCUAUAUCUGAAGUAACAGUGUGUCAAGUCCAUUUGCAAUAUCCACUAGUACACUGUAUAUGAGACUAAAACAAUUCAUUGGAAGCUUUAGAAUUCACAUAACAUUGAAUUUCACUAUCAAAUUCGCAAGAACUUUACAGUUGCAAGACAGCAGUUACGAUAGUGAGAAAACAAGCAAUUUUCUGACCCAAAAGGAAGCAAGCAAAAAAACACACACACCUUUGGAACGAGAGUGACCGAGACGGCAUCAGCGAGCUUGUGGAUGCCAGUGGCGAGCCCGCGCCAGCAAGCGUCGCCGGUGGAUAUCACCUUGACGUCCGCAACGCAUCAUGGUUGUCGGACCUAAUUGAGAAGGAGGCUCGGCAGUGGCCGCUGGAACUCUACCAGCGUCGCUGUACUUGACUAAUGGGUUGAGUGGGUACCAUAAAAGAGCUCUAAUUCAGAGCCCAAGCGUGGGAGCAGCAUCACCCAGAGCAGGCCCUGAUCAAUACUUGUAGAUAUAUAUUACUAAUACAGUUAAUAGCCAAAAGAAAUAAACAGAGCAGGGAUGUAGACAUGCAUCGCCUAGUUACCCUCCGGUCUCGUCGCCGGCGGCGCCGCCAGGCGAUGACGACGCGGCCUUGGGCGCGGCGGACGGCAGCACGAACGUGACCUCGGUGGCCAUCUCCUGCUUGCACCGCGGGAUGCAAUCAGCGUCAAAAAAGGGUGCACAGAUCGAACUCACAAGCCAACAAGGGGAAAACGAAAAAACAAAAAAAGGUAGGGAUUGAAAGAAGGGAGGAGGAGCGACAGAGGCCGCGUCCGCUCACCUGCCACGACGACAGCACGCCACCACCAUUGCUCCCGCCGCCGUACACCACCGGAGCCGUCCCUCCCGGUGCCGAGACCUGCAAACAGCCACGCACGCACGCCACCUCGAUCAGUUAACCAAGCAUAUACAUACAACCAGCCAACCCCGAAUGUUUACUGCCCUACGAGAAAGCGCCUACGAACCUGCGGCGCGUGGGGGCGGUGGUAAGGGGCCGGUGGCAGCGGCAGAGGCGGGCGCGCAAGUCCCUCCUUUUUUUAUGCCAUUCACGAUAUGCAUCCACGAUGAAAAUGCUUCCCCAUAUGCAUGCACGAUGAAAAUGCCAUUCUAUAACGCACUUUUCUAAUGCAGAAUCUGGGCAACUGAUGGAGCAACCCAGUUCCAGUCGACAUGGUAUUCAUGAGGUAAUGUUGCAUAUCUAGUCAAUAUCUAUGACCAUGGUUAAUUUUCGUCCAAGCUAAAGAAAAUUAUCCCUACUUAUUUGCAGGGCACCUAUCCUGCACCCAUUCCUCAACCUUCAUGGUCAUUGGAUUACCUUCCUACGAGAGUAGCUUGUACACUAUCACAUGGAUCUAAUGUAACUAGCAUGGACUUUCAUCCUUCACAUCAUACGCUACUACUAGGUACCAUCAAAAUCUAUAAUUUACUCUCUCUCUCUCUUCUUCGGACACCAUGGUCAUNACACCUUAUUAAUUUUCUUGUCAUGAUUACUACUCAAAUAGUUGGAUCUGCUAAUGGUGAAUUUACACUUUGGGACAUUGGUACACACAAGAAGCUGGUCUCUAAGCCCUUCAAAGUCUCGGACAUGCAAGCAUGUUCAACACAAUAUCAGGUAACUGAGCACAUUUUGAAAUUCUCGCUCCUCUUUGGUUUUAGUUGUAGGCAUGUUCUCAUAUUAUAUAUAUGUGCCUCACUAUUUUUCUACUAUGAGAAAAGAGUGUCAUGGCUAAAGACUCUUCCAUUGCCGUUAAUCGAGUUACAUGGAGCCCUGAUGGAGACUUGAUUGGUCAGUAUCAAUAUUUUCCAUCUCCACCCAGGAGCCCCAAACCGUGAAAUUUUCCCAGCUCCAGUUACAAAACUACUAGUUCAAGCCGCAGUUCCCCACAAACCGCAGUAGCAUCGAUGUUAAUCAACCAGUCAACAGUGUUGCUAGUGGUGAUAGUCCAGUAGAAAGGAGAAGAGGAGAGCUGGGUACUACUGUUAGUUAGCACGGAGCUCUGCACGUACCACCCCACCCCACCCCAUUACUUGUCGACGAGAAGGAGACUGUUGUUGUACGAUAGGCAAUCGGCAGCAUGAGAGACGACCGACCGACCGACCAAGCCACACCACACACAAGGAGCAGGAACCACCCCCAAGUACCAACCAAGGAGGAAACAAAUCUCACCUGUAGAGCGGAUCCGUGUCGCCGUCGUCCGGCGCAGCCGAGGCCGUGGCGACGAGUCCGAGAAGCAUCAGCAGCAGCAGCAGNNNNNNNNNNNNNNNNNNNNNNNNNNNNNNNNNNNNNNNNNNNNNNNNNNNNNNNNNNNNNNNNNNNNNNNNNNNNNGUAUCAAGCGGGUGGAGCAGCCGGUGAAGCCCGCGCCGCCCGUCACCAGCACGCUCCUGCUGGUCCGGGAAGGAGCCCCGACGGCGAGAUCCACGAGCACCUGGACGUGGAGGAGGGGAUGAGCAGGUCAGCGUGGAUCUGGUGAGGGGGACAGGGAGAGGGCUCGCGGGGGAGAAGGGGGGUCAUGCACGGGAGUGGUGGCGGCGGUAAGGGAGGAGCGAAGCUCUAGGGUUCAGAGAGAAAGACAGGGGUUUGGUGCGGUGUUGUGUGGUGGGUUGGAUCAAAAGUGGAUGGAAGGAUGGACGGACUGAUGUUUUCCAUGUCACCGGUCCAAGGCACAAGUGAUCCCACCAAUCAGAGUUGAGUUUUUUUAGUUUUUUCACUUAUAAGGCAAAUAGUCAAUGUGAUGUCAAAAUUCAUGGUAAAGUUUGUACAAAUGAUCUCACAUUUUGCAUAAGUGUGCAUCUUGGAAUGGCAAACAAUGUUGUUAAAUGGAAUUUCCAUUUUCUUUGCAUAGAAAUUUUAUUUUCCAUUUUUUCAGUGCCCAAACUGAUUAUUUUUUUGAAGGACGUACCAUAUAUUUGAUGUAAAACUGGACCAAAUCAUUUUUAUAAAAUACUAGGACAUAUUUAAUGUACAAUUGAUCAAAUUGUCGGGUGUCAAAAGCUUUGAUCCACCUCUCGUGAAAAAGACAAAUUUUCAUGGAAUCAGCUGGAAGCGGGUCAAAUUUGAAUUGCAGAUGCCUCAUAGUUUGCUUUAUAUUUUUCCCAAAAAUCAAUUCUAGGUACAUAAUUAUCUAUUUAAUCAUAGAAACACCAAAAUAUUUGCAAGAAUCAAGCCCUAGCUACGAACGGUCAUACCCACCGUUUGAACCGCAUUUUGAAACAGGCAUGACAAAUUCUAAAAAAAUCAAAAAAUUGAAAAACCUUCGCAUUGUGUCAUUAUAUGUGACCAACUUACCAGGAAAAAUAAUAAAUUUGUAAUAUGGCAAUUAUUUCAAAAAAGUGUUUUCAUAAAUGGGCUAUCGUGUGUGAAGAUUCAUGGCUUUCAAGCCAAAUGAUCAAUUUUAUGGCCACAUUCAUUGCAUAGUUUGUUCAGACGAUCUAAUGUUAUGCACAAGGGUGCGUAUUGGAAUGGAAAAAAACGUUGAUUAAGGAAGUUUUCAUUUUCCUUGUAUGUAAAAAUCAUUUCUCAUUUUUUCAACUGUCCAAAAUGAGAUUUUUGUGAAGGACCUAUCAUAUAUUUAUUUCAAAAUUGUAUGAAAUCAUUUUUAUAAAAUACUAGGACACAUUUAAUUUACAAUUGAAAAAAUGGUUGGGUGUUAAAAGCUUUUAUCCACCUCUCAUGAAAAAGACAAAUUUUCAUUGAAUCAGUUGGAAGCGGGUCAAAUUUGAACUGCAGCUGCAUUAUAGUUUGAUAUUUAUUUUCCCAAAAAAUCAUUUAUAGGUACAUAAGAAUCUAUUUAAUCAUAGAAACACCAAAAAAAUUCCAAGAUUCAACCACUAGGUAGGAACGGUCAUACCCGCUGUUUUGAGCGCAUUUUGAAAUGGCCAUGAAAAAUUCAAAACAAAUUCAAAAAAAUAGAAAACCUUUGCAUUGUGUCAUUAUAUGUGACAAAGUUACCAAUAAAAAUAAUAAACUAGUAAUACGACAAUUAUUUUAAAUAAGUGUUCCUAGAAAUGAGCUAUCAUGUGUGAAGAUUCAUGGCUUUCAAGCCAAAUGAUCAAUCUUAUGGCCACAUUCAUGACAUAGUUUGUUGAAAUGAUAUAAUAUUAUGCACAAGAGUGCAGAUUGGAAUGGCAAACAAUUUUUAUUAAGGAAGUUUUCAUUUUCCUUGUAUGAAAAAUUCAUUUUUCAUUUUUCAAGUGACCAAAAUGAGUUGUUUUAUGAAGGACGUACCAUAUAUUUGUUUCAAAAUUGGACCAAAUCAUUUUUAUAAAAUACUAGUCCAUAUUUAAUGUACAAUUGACAAAAUGGUUGGAUGUCAAAAACUUGUAUCCAUCUCUCGUGAAAAAGACAAAUUUAUGUCGAUUUAGCUCGAAGCGGGUUAAAUUUGAACUGCAACUGCAUUAUAGUUUGCUCUUUAUUUUUCCCAAAAAUAAUUUAUAGGUAUAUAAGUGUCUAUCUAAUCAGAAAUACAUGGUGUGGUGCCUCGACGUCGAGGUUUGGAUGGUGGUCGAGGGUCCCAACUCCAGAGCGUGUGAACUUGCAUGCCAGCCGCAUGGUCACCGCCUGACCGUUGCGUUGCCACGCGUUCUAGGUGGAAUAGGCAUGUCUGUUGGGUUGGACAAUCCCUCGGUAGGUGUUAGAAAGAAAAAUACAAUAGAAAAAUCUCACGAGGAGACUGAACUAAGCUCAAACAUGAAUUAACAGCCAAGUGUUUGAUUAGCGGUGCGGGUAAUUCACAUAGCCAAUGGGACUAAAUUUUGGAUGAGGAUGAUUAUCUACUAAGGGGACUCUCUUGGCAAUUUUUUAGCUCAAAUGGAUGAAUCUGGGUGGCACUUGCUUUGCAAAGUAACACACUGUGCAGAAAUAUGGAUGUUGAAGCUGGGAUCAAAUGAAUGAAUGGAUUGAGCUGAAAUUUGGUGUAUGAUGUUAAUUUGGGCAUAUGAAGGCACUGUAUAAAAAUUAUACCAUCUGGACAUGCGAAAGUGACACUUCCUUCACAAUGUGCCAAUCUAGACAAAAAAUUGUAAUUGAAACUGGGCUCACAUAGAUGAUUGGAUUGAGCUGAAAUUUCAAGGAGGAGGAUAAUUUGGGCACAUUAAGGUACUGUAAAAAUUUCAUAAAAUUUGGAUAAUCAAAAAAUGUAGUUCCUUCACAAUGCUCUCUACUAAACAGAAUAUUGGGAAAAAUAUUGAGGGAAACUGGCUGAAUUAAAAUGAGCUAAAAUUUGGUGGAGUGGGGUUAUAUGGUCAGUGUCAUCCCGUGGUAAAUUGUCAUCAACUAUAAAGCAAUAUAAAAUGUAGUUGCUUCACAAAAUGAAAAUAUUACCAGAAACAAAGAUUGGAUGAUGAGCUCACAUGGAUUGUUAGAUGGGGCUGAAAGUUUAUGGACAUCUAUGUUUUGGGCACAUAGAUGAUGUGGAAAAAAUUCAACUCAUCAGGAUGUUCCUAUCUAGUACUUCCUUCACAAAGCUGUUAGCUGAACACAAACUUUGGAAAUUUGCUGAGAAAGAUUUACUAGGCAAAUUGUUACGAAAGUUUUCAUGAGGCAAUGAUUUGUAUAGGAAAGAGUGCCCAAAAAAAUAUGAGGGUAAUCAAAGAAAUAUAAAUAACACUUCCUUCACAAAGUGCUAUUUUGAACAGAAUAGGAAAAUGAAUAUUGCUGAAUUGUUUUUGAACUAUGGAAGGAAGGGUUUUCACAUAUUUGAGAAAUAUAUGAUCCAAAGUAUUUAUGAGAAUUUUUCGAGAAUUUUUUGAAUGACAGAAUAGUAGGUUGCUUCACAAACUAGGAUGAGGUGGGAUAGAAUGGACCCACGAGUGACAUGUCAACAUAUUUAGAACGUGUUACGCCAUUUUUAUAAUCGUCGUAAAAGUUAUGACGAUCUCAUCUUAUGCGGUUACGACGGUUUUGACUCACGUCGUCGUAAUUUAUAUGUAGAUUUGAUCCCCUCAAACACUUUAUGAUGAUCUCGGAUGAAAUCGUCGUAGAUUUAUAACGAAUUCAUCAACGACGUCUUAAAAACGUCAAGUAUGAGCAUAUUUCUUGUAGUGAUAUAAGCAAGGGACACACGCGAAGAAAAAGUGAAGACUUUCUCUCCACAACUAAAAUAUUAACUAAAAAAUGAACUAAAAAUAAUAAACUUUGAAUGGUGCAUGUUGAAAAAAAUGAAAUCCCUUUGUAACACAUGAGUUUUCGUGCGAAACCAUGAUACUUCGAGAAAGACUGUCGAUUUUGUACACGAAGUGCAUCCAGUUUUUACCGUAACCCUCUCAACUUUUUAACACACGCUAUGUGGGUGAAAUGAUGAUAUCAUGCCAACUUUCAACCUUUUUAGAGUUCAUUUGUAGUGCUCUUUAAUUUCAGGGUCAUUUAGCUAAAAAUGAGUAAAUGAAAGAAAAAUAUUAAAUGAAGUCAAAAAGGGUUAAAUAUUGAUGAUGUGGCUUUGAAUGGUGCAUGUUGAAAGCACAAAAAGUCUGGAAUUGAAAUAAGUUCAAAAAAAUGAAAUCCCUUUGUAACACAUUAGUUUUCGUGCGAAACCAUGAUACUUCGAAAGAGACUGUCGAUUUUGUACACGAAAUGCAUCCAGUUUUUGUCGUAACCCUCUCAACUUUUUAACAUAUUUUAUGUGGGUGAAAUGAUGAUACCAUGCCAACUUUCAACCUUUUUAGAGUUCAUUUGUAGUGCUUUUUAAUUUUAGGGUCGUUUAGCUCAAAAAAUUAGUAAAUGCAAGAAAAAUACCAAAUGAAGUAAAAAAGGGUUGAAAAUUGAUGAUGUGGCUUUGAAUGGUGCAUGUUGAAAGUAGAAAAAGUCUGGAGUUUAAAUAAGUUCAAAAAAAUGAAAUCUCUUUGUAACACAUGAAUUUUCGUGCGAACCAUGAUACUUCGAAAGAGAUUGUCGAUUUUAUACAAGAAGUGCAUCCAGUUUUUGCCGUAAUUCUCUCAAUUUUUUAACACAUGCUAUGUGGGUGAAAUGAUGAUACCAUGCCAACUUUCAACCUUUUUAGAUUUCAUUUGUAGUGAUUUUCAAUUUCAGGGUCAUUUAGCUCAAAAAUAAGUAAAUGCAAAAAAAUACCAAAUGAAGUAAAAAAGGAUUGAAAAUUGAUGAUGUGGCUUUGAAUGAUGCAUGUUGAAAGCACAAAAAGUCUGGAGUUGAAAUAAGUUUAAAAAAUUAAAAUGAAAUCCCUUUAUAACACAUGAGUUUUCGUGUGAAACCAUGAUAAUUCGAAAGAGACUAUCGAUUUUGUACACGAGAUGCGUGCAAGUUUUGACGUAACCCUCUCAACUUUUUAACACAUGUUAUACCAUGCCAACUUUCAACCUUUUCAGAGUUCAUUUGUAUUGUUUUUCAAUUUCAGGAUCAUUUAGCUUAAAAAAAUGAGUAAAUGAAAAAAAAAUACCAAAUGAAGUCAAAAAUGGUUGAAAAUUGAUGAUAUGGCUUUGAAUGGUGCAUGUUGAAAACACAAAAAGUCUGAAGUUGAAAUAAGUUCAAAAAAAUGAUAUCCCUUUAUAACACAUGAGUUUUCGUGCGAAACCAUGGUACUUCGAAAGAGACUGUCGAUUUUGUACACGAAGUGCAUCCAGUUUUUUUCGUAAACCUCUCAACUUUUUAACACAUUCUAUGUUGGUGCAAUGAUUAUACCAUGCCAAUUUUCAACCUUUUCACAGUUUAUUUGUAGUGCUUUUCAAUUUUAGGAUCAUUAAGCUAAAAUAAUAAACUAAUAUAAAAAAGAAUGAACUAAAAUGAGUCAAAAUAAUAUUAACUAAACUUAUCAAAANUCAACUUUUUAACACAUGUUAUACCAUGCCAACUUUCAACCUUUUCAGAGUUCAUUUGUAUUGCUUUUUAAUUUCAGGGUAAUUUAGCUUAUCUCAAAGAAUGAAUUAAUAGCAAAAGGAAUGAAUUAAAAAACUUUGUUUUUAUUAAACUCUAAUAGCAAAAAGAAUGAACUAAAAAGAACCAAUUAAAUAUGAUAUUUUUCAAUUGCAACAAGAAUCAACUAAAAAAAUCAAAAUAAUAUUAACUAAAAUUGUCAAAAUAUUUAUUUGUUAAAAACUUUAAUAGUAAACGGAAUUUUCAUAAACUAUUUUUUGUUACAAAUUUCAAUAGAAAUUUUCAUAAAGUAUUUUUAAAAAAACUCUAAUAAGANNNNNNNNNNNNNNNNNNNNNNNNNNNNNNNNNNNNNNNNNNNNNNNNNNNNNNNNNNNNNNNNNNAAAAUUAAAAAAAUGCCACCUACUAGGCGAUUACGGCGUGCAUAUGACUAGAAACCCUACAAGAUUGUUGGCCAAGGAUACAUGCCCGCAGAAGGCCUAGUAGGCCCAUAGGCACACAAAUUUGGUUUAGGCCCGUAGGCGUGCAUAUGAGAGGAACUCGAGAGGGUUGGCGCAACCGCACUUAUAACCACCCUCGGCUCCUCUCAGCUAGCGAGGUGGGGCUAAACUCCCACCACCCCGCGCGAGCGCCAGGAAUAGAUGAUACGUCUCAAACGUAUCUAUAAUUUUUGAUGGUUUCACGCUGUUAUCUUAUCUUCUUUGGAUGUUUUAUGUACCUUUUCUAUCUUUUUUGGGACUAACUUAUUAAUUCAGUGCCAAGUGCCAGUUCCUGUUUUUUCUGUGUUUUUGACUCUUUUCAGAUCUGAUUUUGGAAUGGUGUCCAAACGGAAUAAAAAACCCGAAAUGAUUUUUUCCCGAACGGAAAAAGAUCAGGGGGCCUCUGGGCCAAGCCAGGUGGGCUCCAGGGAGCCCACAAGCUCCCACCACGCCACCAGGGGGGAGGCGGCGGUGUCAGGGCUUGUGGCCUCCCUGGCCGCCCCCUGACCUAGAUCCUUGGCCUAUAUAUUCCCAAAUAUUCAACAAAAAAUCAGGGGAGCCUCGAAAAUACUUUUUCGCCUCCGCAAGCUUCCGUUUUCGCGAGGUCUCAUCUGGAGACCCUUACCGGCGCCCUGCCGGAGGGGACUUUGGAGUUGGAGGGCUUCUUCAUCAUCAUCAUCGCCCCUCCAAUGACUCGUGAGUAGUUCACUUCAGACCUACGGGUUCGUAGUUAGUAUCUAGAUGGCUUUUUAUCUCUCUUGGAUCUUCAAUACAAAGUUCUCCAUGAUCUUCAUGGAGAUCUAUCCGAUGUAAUCUUCUUUGGCGGUGUGUUUGUCGAGAUCCGAUGAAUUGUGGAUUUGUGAUCAGAUUAUCUAUGAUAUAUAUUUGAGUAUUUGCUGAUUUCUUAUAUGCAUGAUUUGAUAUCCUUGUAAGUCUCUCCGAGUCUUGGGUUUUGUUUGGCCAACUAGAUAUAUGAUUCUUGCAAUGGGAGAAGUGCUUGGUUUUGGGUUCUACCAUGUGGUGACCUUUCCCAGUGACAGUAGGGGCAGCAAGGCACACAUCAAGUAGUUGCCAUCAAGGGUAAAAAGAUGCGGUUUUUAUCAUUGGUUUGAGAUUAUCCCUCUACAUCAUGUCAUCUUGCUUAAGGCGUUACUCUGUUCUUAUGGACUUAAUACACUAGAUGCAUGCUGGAUAGCGGUCGACGUGUGGAGUAAUAGUAGUAGAUGCAGAAAGUAUCGGUAUACUUGUUUUGGACGUGAUGCCCUUAGAUAUAAUCAUUGCAUAGAUAUCGUCACGACUUUGCGCGGUUCUAUCAAUUGCUCGACAGUAAUUUGUUCAUCCACCGUCUACUUGCUUUCAUGAGAGAAGCCACUAGUAAACACUACGGCCCCCGGGUCUAUUCACAUCCAUCGUUUACACCUCCGCUUUUACUUUGCUUUGUUACUUUGUUGAUUUCAGUUCUCACUUGGCAAACAAUCUAUAAGGGAUUGACAACCCCUUCAUAGCGUUGGGAUCAAGCUUUUGUGUUUGUGCAGGAUCUUGAGAUACUCCUCCACUGGAUUGAUACCUUCGUUCUCAAACUGAGGGAAAUACUUACCACCGCUGUGCUACAUCACCCUUUCCGCUUCGAGGGAACACCAACGCAAGGCUCCAUGGCCACGCUUGCCUAGGAAGUCCCUUAAGGCGUAGCCGCAGCUGAAGGAUUCCUGGUGCCGUCGACACGACUAUUCUUGGCGCCGUUGCAAGGGAAGCACUGCUGACAUCAAUAGACAUUUAGUCUCGGUUGGAGCCACCAACCAGGACUAAAGCCUUUUGCUUCCCGCCCUUUCGGGCGCUGAAAAGGUGGGGCCAUAUAAGCGGGACUUUGCAGUUUUCCCAAAUCCACUGCUUUCUUCGAAUUCGAUCUCCUCCUCUCCCACGACGACACCGAGACCACAUCGACGCCGCCAUGCUAACAGACCUCGUCGCCGCCGCCGUCUGCUCUACUCCGACGCCGUCACUGCUCCCUCGCUGGGCCCGCCCUACCCCGACGCCAUCGCCGCUGCCUGCCCUGACGNNNNNNNNNNNNNNNNNNNNNNNNNNNNNNNNNNNNNNNNNNNNNNNNNNNNNNNNNNNNNNNNNNNNNNNNNNNNNNNNNNNNNNNNNNNNNNNNNNNNNNNNNNNNNNGACGUCACCGUCGCCGCGCGCUCCCCUCAUCGUCGGCCGGCCCCUCCAUCUCCAUCGCUCGCCGCCCCCGGUGGGCUCCUGCAUCUCCAUCGCUCCCCGCACGCUUCCCUCUAUGCAUGAGUGUUAGCUAAUUUUAUUCUCUCCAUUCCUAAAUAUAAGUCCUUUUAGAUAUGAAUGUACACUCUAAAUUAUGUCUAUAUACAUCCGUAUGUAGUCCUUCAGUGAACCUCUAAAAAGACCGUGUACAUGAAGACUUGUUGAAAUCAUAAAAAUAGUGUGUAAAUUGUGUCUAUACACAUCCGUAUUUAUACAUGCAUUUUAGAAAAAAUUAAGCAUUGUGUGGUUCAAAAUAUUGUGUACAUCAAGACUUGUCGAAAUCAUAAAAUAUCAUAGUGUUUCAUCUUUUAUGUUGACUAAGCGAUAUAAACAUGCUUGUGUGGUUACACAAUUCACUUGUUAGGAUUCUAGCUAUUUCUUGGUUAAUCAAGUAAGAAGGAGCAACUGCAACAAAGGACAAUGGCCAAUCACAUGCCUCAUGUCCUAAGCCUUUUUUCGAUAGUGUUCGACAUUACUUGAGGAUAUUUUCCAAUAUGAGGUAUUUAAAAAGUCAUCCAAGUGUAUGAAAUCCUGAAGAUGUGUCUUAGAUAUGAUUAGUGUAACUAUAAGAACAUGUUUGCCCCCACAAAAAUUACUCUGCAUUUUUGUUUGUCCUUUAUUUAAAGUUUUGAUGCUCAUAGUAUCCUAGUACGUAUUUGUUUUUCUAUUCCUACUGCUAUUUAAAUUGGAAUUUGCAAACAAAUCAUCAGCGACAAUAUUAAUUCUGGAUUUAUUCUUUAAAUAGUAGGAAUUUAAAUAGUUGUAGAAUUGAUUCUCGACGUCGAUGAUGCCUGGCCCGCAUCCUCGUCGUCGACUCGGUGGCGACCGCCUGCUUGAGAGGCGCCAGCAUGUCCGGGACUGGGCUACGUCGGGCUGACACUGGGAGGAGCUACCUUCCGGGGUACGCAACUUGGUGAGGAACGAGGCUCCCGUUGUCGACCCGGAGCUUCUUUGGUGGCCGUCACGUGGGCCACUUUUGGUGCGGAGGCAGCCGACCCCCGAGGAGGAGGUACUUCACCGUGUCAGGGAGGAAGACGAGCACGUACAUCCCUACUUGGUUGCGUUGGACGCCAGGUUCUCCAAUACCUGGCAGGUUUUUCAGGGAUCUCACCCGAGCUAUGAUCGUGUGAUGGUUCCUUCUAUGUGGGUGUCCACCGCCCGCGCCUCAGUACAACAACAUCUCUUUGGGUGAUCUGUUUGAUUAGGAACCGCGAGUGAAAUAGAUUAUACUAGAGAUGUAUUCAAGAUUAUAUUCGAUAAUAUCUGAGAUAUAUUAAGUUGAUUAUUGGUUGUAACCGAAAGAGAAUCUUUUCCCCUCUUGAGAUCUAUUGCACGACAAGCGCUUUUGACUUUGUUGCUAGAAAAAAUUAAACUUCUUAGUGUCGGCAGGUCCAUCAUUGUAUGAUUUUUUUGUUGUAGCCUUUAGGAUAGGUUUUUAUUUGUUCAAUGUCUGUGAUUUUUAAUCUUAUAUAGAAUUAUGAACACAGGGAAUGGCGUGGUCCGAUGACGAUAGGAUCCAUGCGUGCCAUUUGUGCUGGGAUGAUAGGGGUAUAUGCGAUCGUUAUCCUCACCUAGAUAAUGAUACGUCCUUCACCGUCAAGCUGACGGAUGACUUCCCGAUUAUUACGGUAUGUAAAGACAGCAUGUAUAUUUUGUUAGUCAAGUAUGACGUGCUUUUUUGCUUUAGUUAACCUUUAAUUUUCUUUUGUACAAUUCGACUAGUGUGUUCCCUGCCAUGCAAGAUUUGCUCUCUUGGACAAGUUUCAUUUUAAAGAGAAGGAUGGUACAGAGCCUAAAAUAACUCACCUAAGAACAGAGCAUUUCACUUUUGUUGUCAAGGUAAAAAAUGAUGAAGAUCACACAUAUUUUGGUUGUUCUAAUUGGAGAGCAUUUUGCAAAGCAUAUGGGUUGAAUGAGGACAUGAGCAUUACCUUCGAUCUUGAUAAUGAUGAUGUCCGUGAUAAUAAUAUAGAAAUUUGGAUGCAUGCGGAGGAUGACUUGAUUCCAGAUCUACCUCCAGGUGCGUUUUGUCAACAUAUUUGUUAGGUAAUUUUUAUUAAUUACUGAAAAGUAUCUUGUACUCAUCCCGAUUAAAUUUAUUUAUUUUUAAUUAUUAGCUUAUUUCCAUGCUACAAGAACUACAUGGAAGAUAGUAGAUCAGACCUACUACAGUUUUGGCUCCAACCUUACUUAGUUGGAGAAAAACCAUCUCAUCUCGUUUAUUCAUGAUGUUGACAAUCAUGCUAAAAGUUACAUGACUGGGAAUAUUUAUCAUGAAUAUGUGCCACUAGUGCACUAGUUGAGCCCUCAUAACAUCACUUCAGACAACUUUGUAAGAUUUUUUAUACCAUUGCGUCACUAAUCCAUCUUUUUUAUACAUUGUUCUUAAGCAAAACUAGUUUGCUAACUAUAUUAUUAUUGCUAACACGUACUCCCAUCAGAGACCGUGCCUAAAUGGAUGUUUGCCACCGGUGAUUUGGAAAUGGUUAGCUUACGACCAACCCCAAUUAAUUACCGUGGUAAAUACAAGAUAUCUCAAAGUGAAGACACUCUGAAAAUCAAAAGAUGGAGAAACACAAUACAAGCAUCCAUGAUACCAUUUGGAGAGGAAUCCUUGCCAAUCCCACAAGUUGGAGAUAUGUUGAUCUGUGUUCUUCAAUAUGGAGAUGUUGGAGUUCGCCUUUAUUUUUCUUGUUUACCUAGGAGAGAGUAGUAGUUAGUGUUUCAACCUUGUGAUAACUUGGUCAUUUGCUACUAUGAUAACAAACUGAAUGAUGAGGAGUUUAUCUUUUUAUGCUAUUUUACCUAGAAUGAUGAAGAUCUUUUUAACUAGUAUGUAAUGAUGAGGAGUAAUAUACGAUGCCGUGUAAUGUUUUAUGUACGUACUAGCUAGCGUCUAGUUGACACCCACCGAAAACACCAACAAGGAUAAGGAAACAAAGAUGAUGGACAAAAAAAUAAAAGGAGGAAACACAAUAUGAAAUCCCUAAUAAAACCCUCCAAAACCCCUAAACCCCCCUUUAAAAAAACACAGCGCCUCGAGCUACUCACGCGUGGCUGCCUUUGGGUCCCGGUUGGUGUUACCAACCGGGACUAAAGGUCCUCCUGCGUGGGCGCUCCGCAGCGGCCACGUGGAGCUCAUUUGGGCCCGGUUCUUAAGCCAACCGGGACUAAAGGUUUGGGCAUUUAGCCCCGAUGGUUUUGUCACGGUUGAAGAACCGGGACUAAAGGUCCUCUAGAACCGGGACUAAUGACCCUUUUCCUACUAGUAGAGCUCCGGUUGUGCUGCACCAUAUACAACCAGUAGUGCCCAUCUAAAUCCAUCAAUCUUUGAUCUCACUCGAAAAAAUCACCAUAUACCACAUUAAUCACUUCUAACAUUUCACACUUCACUCAAACUCAACCCCACCACCUAUGGUGUUGAGAAACUAUUGUGUAAAAUUAUCUCUGCCUGUUUCGAUAAUCGCCAUAAAGUCUAAAUUGUGUUCUACUGAUGCUUCUGACAAGAAUCUCUGUUUAGCGAAGUCUGCCUGACCUUUGGUAUUCCAAAAUAUUCCUUUCAUUUUCAUCAUAAUUUUUUUAUUUUAUUUUAUUCUCGCACUCCUCCGAAUUGCUAACAAAGGAUAAACCUUCCUCUUACAGGAACGUUUUGGUUUAUCCUUUAGCAUUUCUGUUUCAAUUUGGCUAGACGUAGAAGUAGUGCUAUAGACUUCUCGAGGUCAUAAGAGGGAAGAGGAAUGCAAACUCCUUGCAAACCAGUUCCUUGGACUGAUUCAUGGUUAGUGGAGGGCUUGAAUCUACGACUUUAUUAUGGUUGAUCAGAUCCGUAAUUCACUGUUUGCCUUUUGCUCAUUUGAUGUGAAAAUCGAUGAUAAUAUCAACACCGGCCUUGGUCCUUAUGUUUUCAAUAUAUGUCAACUUGCUUAUGACUGGGCUUGGUUCUCUUGGUUCCAGCGCGUCAUGGUUGUUUUUGGUGGCAGGGUGUACACGACUAUCACUUGCAUCACUUCCAUUGCAUAACUAUGCAUCAUGACCAUAUAUAAGAUGUCAAGGUGCACACAUUUGUCACUUGUGUAUAAAAUUCAGAACAUGACAUGAUACGGGUUGCACAUAUGCAAAACCGCAUAUAUGUUCUGUUUGAAGUUCAGAACUUCACAUGUUACGGCCUGCAGACAGGCAAGAGCAGGACAUGCCAUUUGCAUGUGUAUUGCAUAAUCGUGACUUGCAUACAUACAUGCUUCCAAUACAUUGCAUGACAUUUAGUUGCAUACAUGUUGGAAAUAUGAGCGAUUUAUCAUGUGAUUUUACAAGCAGAAAAGUAGAUGAAUCAUGAUUAUCAUAGCAAUUAUAAGACAAGUCAUGCAAUCAUACAGAAAGUAUGCAAGUAGCAUCCGAAGGGAUGAGUAGAAACGGAACAUGUCUAGAACAGAAACUAGAACAAAAAGUUCCGGCAGGAACUCAAACAAGAAGAACACGAACACGUACUAAGUUGCAGCAGCAGCAACAGUGAGAUUGGCAUUCACAUCAUCACCGGUCAUGUUGUCGAAAAGGUUGUUGACGUUGGGGAAGAAGUCGUCAUCCGGAAAGUGGUCGUCGGCGUCCGUGAUGAAGAAGCCAGUAGUCGCGUAGAUCGCUCUCUAAAAACCUUAUCAGUACCGACUCAAAGCGCGGGGUUUCGAAGAGUUUGGAACUUGACGGCGAGAGGAAGAUGAUGAUCUGAUGUGUCUCUCUGCAGAGGAGCGACCUCUCUCUUAUAUAGGCAGAGAAGAGAAGGAGGCGAAGAAAAAUUUAGUCAUCGGCUUGGCUCAUUCCCGCGGCGUCACGAGGCGAGGCGGGAGGAGGAGGAGCGCGCGUGUAUGUCUCUCUUGUUCUCAUGAUCAUACAUGUGGGGAAACAUCCUCCCUUAUAAGGAGGACCAACUCCUAUCAAACUAGCAAUGUGGGACUAAACUUUAAUUCCACCUCUUGCCUUGCACAAAUGGGCUAAGUGGGCCUCUAGGAUUUAUUAGGAAUUCUGAAAAUGAUUAUUGGGCUGGCCCAUAGCAGUUAAAUUCUAGCAACCCCCCACCAGAUCCCAGAGGCACACAAAAAAUUGCCUUUGGUUCUAAAACCCUGUUUAUAUACCGGUACUACAUUGGAGACUGUUAAGUUGAACUUCCACCUAGACUCUAUGCUACACUAGUAAGCAACCUGAAUAGUGGACUAUGCCUUGAACUGCAAGUUUUCUGCAAAUCUAACUUCACAGAUAGCCUUGACCGAUACUAGGCUACCGUGGGACUUCCCUGCGGGUGGAGCUUAUGCUUCAUACUCCGAGGCCUUUCAUGAGCUUACUAGAGAGCAUCCUACCCUCAUAGAUUGCGACGUUAACAAUCAGACUCAUAUAGGUGUGUUAUUCCAAAGAUGUUAUGCAGGACAACAUCUCUGCUUCAAUAAGCCACUUAGAACACAUUAAGAUAUAUAUCAACCUACCAUGUAGAUUAGGAAAGUAUUGCAUCUUCAUGUGGUGAUAUUAUCAAUGGUAAGGAUACUUUCCUCUCAGUUGACCAACAGCUUGUCUUCCACAUCUAAUUCAUGGGAUCUCCGAUCACAUAGAAUAAGUUACCACUUUGAACAACUCAUAUUGUGGGUCUCAUACCCAUCUCCUUCUAUGCAUUGUCUAUCACAUUACAUGAUAGACCCUUAGUAAGAGGAUGUGCCAUAUUUUUAGAUGUUUGGAUAUAAUCCAAUGCAAUAACUGCGGAGUUUCUCAUUUUCCUGACAGAAUUUAACCUUCUCUGAACAUGUCUUGCUGACUUCAUGUUGUCCUUUGAACUACUCACUUUGGCGAUCACAGUUUGAUUUUCGCAGUUCAUAAGAACACCCGAUACAGGUUUCUCAACAACUGGUAAGUCAUUCAAGAGCCGACGAAGCCAAUUUCCUUCGACUGUAGCUGUAUCUAGUGUUGUGAGUUCUACUUCCAUUAUUGACCUUGUUAAGAUGGUCUCCUUGCAAGACUUCCAAGAAACAGUGCGACCACCAUGAGUGAAUACAUAUCCGCUCGUGGCCUUUAUCUCAUCAGCAUCAGAGAUCCAACUUGAGUCACUAUACCCUUCAAGUACAUUUGGGUACCCAGCGUAGUGAUUUCCAUAACUUGUUGUGCCCUUCAAAUAGCGCAUAACUCUUUAUAGAUCUUUCCAAUGAUCAUCUCCUAGUUUUGAGACAAACCGACUCAGCUUGCUAGCAACAAAAGAGAUGCCAGGUCUUGUAGCGCUCGCUAAAUACAUAAGCGAUCCAAUUAUCUGAGAGUAUUUCAAUCGAUCUCUAGCAAUCCUUUGAUUCUUUCUAAGCAACACACUAGCAUCAUAAGGUGUUGGAGAGGGCUUGCAGUCACUAUAACCAAAGCAACUCAAGUUCAUUUCCACAUAGUGAGAUUGAAGCAAUGUAAUCCCACCAUCAUCACUUCUGAGCAGCUUGAUAUUGAGAAUAACAUAGCUACUCCUAAAUCAUUCAUCUCAAAACAACGAGAUAGGAAAUCAUGUACUUCCUUAAUAACAUUCAAAUUUGUUCCAAAAAUCAAUAUGUCAUCAAUAUAAGAAAAGGAUAACUCCCUUGCCCCCACCAUGGCGAUAGUACACGCCUUCGUCAGCUUCGUUUACAACAAAGCCUGCAAUUGUUAAAGUUCUUUCAAACUUCUCAUGCCACUGCUUAGGUGCUUGCUUAAAUCCAUACAAAGACUUCAACAAUUUGCACAAUUUUCCUUCCUGACCGCCCACUAUAAACCCAUCUGGUUGUUCCAUAUAAAUUUCCUUGUCCAACUCUCCAUUUAGGAAAGCACUCUUAACAUCCAUUUUAUGAACAAGAAGACCAUGUGAGCUUGCUUGUGAAAGUAGUACUCGAAUAGCGGUCAGUCGAGCCACACGUGAGUAAGUAUCAAAGAAGUCUUCACCUUCCUUUUGGGUAUAAUCCUUGGCCCCGAGUCGUGCCUUGUACUUCUCAAUAGUACCAUCAGGCCUAAGUUCUUCUUGAAUACCUAUUUGCACACCCUAUAGGUUUGCACCCAUAAGGAUGAGCAGUUAUCUCCCAAGUUUCAUUUGCCAGGAUGGAAUCCAUCUCACUACGAACCGCUUCCUUCCGGUAGUCAGCAUCUUCAGAUGCAUAAGCCUGUGAAAUAGAACUAGGAGUGUCAUCUAUGAGAUAUACAAGAAACUCAUCACCAAAGGACUUUGCAGUCCUAUGUCUCUUGCUCCUUUUAGGAGUCUCAUUAUUGUCCUUCAUUGGAUCUUCAAGAUGUUGUGUUGCAAUGGUCGGUUCAGAAAUUGCAACUACAUCUUGACUCGAUGAACUACGUAUCUCCUAAUUUGAUGAACUACACAUAUCCUUCAAGGGAAAGAAUCUUCGAAGAAAGUCGCAUCAUUAGACUCCAUGAUUGUACCGACAUGCAUGUGAGAUACCUCAGAUUUUACAAUCAAGAAUCUAUAACCAAUGCUAUGAAAAGCAUAACCCAGGAAAACACAAUCCAUGGUUUUUGGUCCAAGCUUUCACUUAUUUGGAAUUGGUAUAUUCACUUUUGCCAAGCAGCCCCAAGUUCGUAGGUAAGAGAGUUUAACCUUUUCUUCUCCCAUUCCUCGAAUUGAAUGGAGUUAUCUCUUUGUUCUUUCUGGGAACUCGGUUUAGGACAUGACAUGCAGUCAAUAUCACCUCCCCUCACCAUGCCUUAGAGAGACCCGAUGUGUCUAACAUGGCGUUAACUAAAUCAGUUAGAGUAUGGUUCUUUAUUUCGGCUACCCCAUUUGACUGACGUGAAUAAGAAGGCAUACUCUCAUUGAUUAUACCAUGUUCUGCAUAAAAAUAAUUAAAUUCAUUGGAAAAAUACUCUCCACCACGAUCGAACCUGAGCCUCUUGAUUUUCCGAUCAAGUUGGUUUUCCACUUCAGCUUUAUAGAUCUUGAAGAAAUCCAAAGCCUCAUCUUUUGACUUUAAAAGGUACACAUGACAAUAUUUAGUGGAGUCAUCAAUUAACGUCAUAAAAUAUUUCUUCCCACCUUUCGUCAAAACACCAUUCAUUUCACAAAGAUCUGAAUGUAUGAGUUCUAGUGGCGCAAGAUUUUUUGUUUCCACAGUUGUAUGAAAUUUGCGAGGUUUCCUAGCUUGCACACAAACUUGACACUUAGAUCCCUUGACAGAAGUGAAGUUGGGAAUUAAUUUCAAUUUGGCUAGCCGCAUCAUACAACCAAAAUAAACAUGAUAGAGACGUGUAUACCAGACAUUUGCUUCACUAUUAUUGCAAACAUGAUUAAGAACUUUAUUACAAACAUCUGACAAGGAUAGUGUGAAGAAGCCUCGUGACUCGUAACCUUUACCAACAAAAGUUCCAUACUUAGAUAUUACAAAUUUAUUGGACUCAAAGUCAAGCUUGUAGCCAUCUCUACAUAGAAGAGAUCCGCUAACAAAUUUUUUAUUCACGGAGGGGACAUAAUGCACGUUCUUCAGCCGCACGAUCUUCCCCGAAGUAAAUUUCAGAUCGAUCCUGCCAACACCACAAACAUCCUCCCUUAUAAGGAGGUCUAAUUCCUACCAACUAGCAAUGUGGGACUAAACUUUAGUUCCACCUCUUGCCUUGCACGAAUGGGCUAAAUGGGCCUCUAGGAUUUAUUAGGAAUUCUGAAAAUGAUUAUUGGACUGGCCCAUAGCGGUUAAAUUCCAGCAAGAUCAUACAUACUUGUUCCUUCCAAACUAUAAAUUUGAUCACUAAAAAAAUAGCUUCACAAUCUUGGCAGACUACUUUGUUGAAUUCUUGUCGCUUAGCUGCAUUAAAUUGUUCAUGUCGUGCUCCUGUCCUUUUCUAAGCACCAAUCUCAGCUCCCAGCAAUGCAUCACGUAUUGUCACAGUCCAUAAUUAAAUCCCAGCAUCGAGCAUACAAUCGUUGCAUCUUCUGAUCCCGACAGAUUGCUCGAGAAUUCUGGUACUCAAGCAUGUUUAGUACCCUGACAAACUACACAAUAAAUAAGUUGUUCAGGUCUUCAGUAUCUAUCUUUUUUUUUGCGAAUGAAAAUAUUUCAUUGAUCAAUCAAAAGAGUCUUUCUUACAUAUGGUGUCGAGUUCCUGUGGAGUACUACGCAGCCACACCGCAGUGCCCUGUUUGUGAUGUCCAAAAUGGGCAAGGGCAUCAACAAUCAUAUUCCUACCUCUUACCACAUGUGAUAUGAUAUGUUCUCCCCCCUCAUCCAAGUACCUUUGGAUCUGUGUCACCAUGGUUGCACACGGUGAUCUAUUUAGGCCAUCUUGGGUAAUCAUCCGAGCCGCAGUCAGGCAGUCAGUUUCGAUGAUCAUCGGGAGUUCACUCCAAGCUCGUGCGAUGGUUAUCCCCUCCAAACAGGCCGCCAGCUCUGCCUCGAGGGGUGAAGAGCAGGAUCGGAGGAGCCGACAGGAGGAGAAGAUCACCUGGCCGGCCUCUCCCCGGAGAAUCAUCCCAGCCCCACCAGUGUUGCCAUCUGCUUUGAAAGCCCCGUCCACAUUCAGUUUUGUCCACCCCGGAGGUGGUGGUAGCCAUUUAACUUCCGGCUCUCUGGCGGUGCUGCUUUCCUCAUGAGCUGCUGUAGAACUCCCCUGGUGAGAGAUGGCCAUCUUUCCUUUGGUCAAAUCGGUAUUGGGAUAUUGCUUUAAGCACAGCAAGGUCUCAAUAUAACUGGACAGAAAUCUGGUAGAAGCUUCGAUUGGCGGGGCCUUUUUGCCAUGGGUCAGUUCGUUGUGGACAUGCCAACUGCGCCACAUGGUCAUCAACACAGGUAGACGCUCCUCAGACCUGCACUGAUCCAGAAGGUGAAGGAGCCAUUCCGCACCCGUGUUUCUUACCUCCUCUAGCUUCGGCAUCCGCCACGAUUUUGCCAUAUCCCUCCAUAGUCGUUGGGCUAGAGGGCACCUACAGAGAGCAUGGAAGGUAUCCUCUCGCUCCAAGCCACAGAUCACACAGGUAUCCGUCACCCCUAUAUUCCGGCGUUUCAGAUUAGAGGCAGUAGCCAGGGAGUUCGUGGCCACCCGCCAAGCAAAAACUCUCACCUUCGGGGGGGAGGGGGGCUGGCAUCCCCACAGUAGUUUCCAGAGGGACCUUGUACCAUCGGGUACCCUACUCGACGACGACAUAGAUGAUCUGUAUUUUCCAUCAUGAGCAAGGUGAUAGGCUGAACGUACCGAGAACACCCCUCUAGGGUCUGGAGCCCAUGCGAGGACAUCCUCCACCAGUCGAUUUGGAGAGGCUUUGAUCGCACAGAUAGCGUGGACGUCUACUGGUGCGAAGUAGCAGUUGAGGCUCUCCAUAUUCCAUCUACCGAGGCCAUCCAUCAGUUCAGACACCCUCCGCAGACGACAAUUCCCCCUGGCUGAAAUAGGGCGAUAAGAAUGCGGCCUUGGGAUCCAUGGAUCUCUCCAAAUGCGUAUUUGUUCACCAUUUCCAACCCGCCAGAUGAGGCCCUUUUUUAGAAGUUCUAAACCAUAAGUAAUAGCUUGCCAUGAUGGUGAUGCAUUUCCUGUAAACACCGUAUCCUCCAAGGCACCAUUAGGAUAAUAUUUCGCCUUGAUUACCUGUGCACAUAAGGAAUCUGGUUUGGUGAGGAGCCUCCAUGCUUGCCUCGCCAAAAGUGCUUGAUUGAACAGCCGGAAAUCUCGGAAUCCUAGUCCCCCUCUACUCUUUGGUUCGCAGACUUUAUCUCAGGCUUUCCAGUGUGUUUUCCUCAUGUCAUUCUUAGCUCCCCACCAAAAGUUUCGGACUAGGCGGGAUAGGUCCUCGCAGACAGAAGCAGGCAAUUUAAACACCCCCAUGAUGUAUGUUGGAAUUCCCUGUGCCACAGAUUUAAUCAUGGUUUCCUUCCCAGCCUGAGAAAGCGUGUCGCCCCAUUCCAGUAUACGCUUAGUGAGACUCUCUUGUAAUUUUUGAAACUUGCCUCGAUUCAUCCUACCAUCAGGAGUUGGCAGCCCCAAAUAUUUCCCUUCGAAAUCCUCUUUUUCAACAUCAAGGAUAUGGCGCACUUGGGUUUGCAUCUCUGUUGGGCAUACCUCACUGAAUUGGAUAGAGCACUUCUGGGUAUUGAUAAGUUGUCCAGUAGCUGAGGCGUACCUUUGGAUGACACCUUUAACAAACAGGGCCUGAUCGUGAUUAGCUUUGAAAAAGAGUAAGGUGUCAUCAGCAAACAGGAGAUGGGACACUCCAGGAGCCCUUCGGCAUACUUUAACCGGCUCAAUGUUGUGGGAGGCUACUCCUUGCCUGAGCAGUGCAGACAGACCGUCAGCAACAAACAGGAAAAGGAAAGGGGACAGAGGAUCACCUUGUCGAAGCCCCCGGGACGGUGUGAAGGAAUCUAAGAUAACACCAUUAAAUUUGACUGAGUAUUUUACUGAAGUAACACAAGCCAUGAUCCACUUUAUCCAUUGAUUGGAGAAGCCCAGCUUUGUCAUUGCUUGUUGUAGGAAACACCAAUCAACCCGAUCAUAAGCAUUUGAUAGGUCGAGCUUAUAAGCACAAAAACUAUUCUCGGGAUUUUUCUCUUGGUGCAUGAAAUGUAGGCACUCAAAGGCCAGCAGGGCGUUGUCGGUAAUCAUCCUGCCAGGGACAAAGGCGCUCUGGGCAGGUGAUAUGAUUUCAUCUAGAAUAGGACGUAACCGAUUUACCAGGCACUUAGCCACAAUCUUAUAUAUCACGUUGCAUAAGCUUAUAGGCCUGAAGUCCACCAAACGAGAAGGAUUGGGUAUCUUCGGGAUUAAUACGAUGACCGUUUCAUUGACCUCCUGUGGCAUCACCCCUGUACUGAAAAAACUCUUCACCGCCGCAAUGAUAGUGACCUUCAUAUCAGCCCAGUUUUUCUGAAAAAAUCUGGCCGGGAAUCCAUCCUUCCCCGGGGCUUUGAGGGGUCCUAUUUGGAACAGGCUAUCCGAAAUUUCCUGAUCUGUGAAUUCCUUGCACAAGCUAUCAUUCAUUUCUAGGGAUACUUUUGGUUCAAAAAGAUUGACAAGGGGCUCUCUUAUCAGGGUGUCAUCGGCAGCAAAUAACUCCUGAAAAUACGAAUUGACCAUGUUACUCAUCACCCUUGGAUCACUAUGGGCUACGCCUUGCGCGUCCACUAAACUUUUAACUCUGUUCCUUCGAGCUCGCCAGACAGCUUUCCGGUGGAAGAACUUUGUGUUCCGAUCACCAUCCCUCAACCAAUCCACCCUAGACCGCUGCAUCCAGAGUAAUUCUUCCCUAUAUAGGAGUUCAUUCAUAUGAUCUGUUACCCGCCGAAUCUCAUUUCUGUCUGCAUUCAUAUUAAGGAGUUCCUCCAGUCUUGACCUACUUUUUUCCAGUUCAAGGGUGACAUUGCUAAAU
rnacentral:lncRNA from 1 species